rnacentral:rRNA from 1 species
GAUGAACGCUGGCGGCGUGCCUAAUACAUGCAAGUCGAGCGAACAGACGAGGAGCUUGCUCCUCUGACGUUAGCGGCGGACGGGUGAGUAACACGUGGAUAACCUACCUAUAAGACUGGGAUAACUUCGGGAAACCGGAGCUAAUACCGGAUAAUAUAUUGAACCGCAUGGUUCAAUAGUGAAAGACGGUUUUGCUGUCACUUAUAGAUGGAUCCGCGCCGCAUUAGCUAGUUGGUAAGGUAACGGCUUACCAAGGCGACGAUGCGUAGCCGACCUGAGAGGGGGAUCGGCCACACUGGAACUGAGACACGGUCCAGACUCCUACGGGAGGCAGCAGUAGGGAAUCUUCCGCAAUGGGCGAAGUCCUGACGGAGCAACGCCGCGUGAGUGAUGAAGGUCUUCGGAUCGUAAAACUCUGUUAUUAGGGAAGAACAAAUGUGUAAGUAACUAUGCACGUCGUGACGGUACCUAAUCAGAAAGCCACGGCUAACUACGUG